UACGGAGGGUGCAAGCGUUAUCCGGAAUCACUGGGUUUAAAGGGUGCGUAGGCGGCGCAUUAAGUCAGAGGUGAAAGCCCGUGGCUCAACCAUGGAAAUGCCUUUGAUACUGAUGUGCUUGAAUCAGGUUGAGGACAGCGGAAUGUGGCAUGUAGCGGUGAAAUGCAUAGAUAUGCCAUAGAACACCAAUUGCGUAGGCAGCUGUCUGGGCCUGUAUUGACGCUGAGGCACGAAAGCGUGGGGAGCGAACAGG
rnacentral:rRNA from 1 species